CUCACCUGCCUGCAGAAUUAGCAAUAUGCAAAUCUACCCGAAUAUGCAAAUGAACCAGUCUUGCAAUUCAGGUAGUGCAUAUUGCUGUUGCUACCAACAGAGGGCACUAGACAAGCUCCAUAGCCAAACCCACCUAGUUGGUAGCAAACCUCAGCAGUACAGGAGAGCAGGCAAUACAUUUCACAGUACACACACACACUAUAAACAAUUGCAUUACACACACCCUGCACCUAUAAUGGGUACAGGGUGACUAAAACAUAAGAUAAAUAAAGCAGCCUACAUAAAUAGUCUGUCUGAAGGUAGAAUAGGGGCUUUAAAGCCAAAUACAUGAAAGAGUCAUAGUCACAGGGGAGGAGGCUGACUAACCAGGCACCUGACUUUCUGUCGGUCAGUGCCUAAGUUAGUCGAUUCACCCACCGACCAUAAGCAAGUGCCAGAGUAGCCCACCCACAACAAACAGUUAUUAGAGCAACCCACCCACAGCAAACAGUGACUGCACCUGGGUAUUCCUCUGGGGUGAUGGGGCAACACGCUGUGGGGACUUGAGGGG